CCUACGGGAGGCAGCAGUGGGGAAUAUUGCACAAUGGAGGAAACUCUGAUGCAGCAACGCCGCGUGGAGGAUGACGCAUUUCGGUGUGUAAACUCCUUUUAUAUAGGAAGAUAAUGACGUACUAUAUGAAUAAGCACCGGCUAACUCCG
rnacentral:rRNA from 1 species